CAAGUGACGGCUGCCGCCCGCCAAUGCGAGCGCGGCUCGGCGCUUUCAAAAAAGCAGGUACAAAGGCAAAGAAUUGACACAAAAUCAGCAAAAAGGUGGGACUAGGUAUUGAAGCAGAAUGGUGGUCCAGCUCCGGUCUCUGUAUGUGGUCAGGACCAGAUGCUUACAAGGUCCACAGAGGAAACCUGCACAUAAGUUCAAGGUGGAAAGGAAGCAGGAUCAUGCCCUGAAAUGCCAACAUGACCUCCACAUACCAGAUGAGCUCCUGAAUAGUUCAUGCCAUCGAAAGCAACUUUGUCACAGCAGACAGCUUAUAUUUCCUUCUUACACUGAAAAUCUAAGGAGCACUGUCAAAUGAGAACUGCACCGGGAUUUUUUUUUUUUCAGUCAAAGUUCAUUGUGCGGUAUCUCUGCUCUGUUUGUUGCUCUGAGUAUUCAUCCUUGCAAUCUAGUAUGUUGUUCCUAAGAGGGAAACACAGUUCCCCCACCCCAUAGCCCUCAUCAGAGCGAACCAUCACUUAGGACCCCUGUUUAGUGUUACAUUGGCCUUAGUAUCCCUCUCACUUUUCAUGCCUGAUAUUUAUGAGUAUUAAAACAUUGUUGACUUUGGAAGCAGAGGUUAUAGACAAAGUUAAUUAUAGGUAAAACAUUGAUCCAAACACACCUGAAUCUUAAGGAAACACUGAAUUGUGAACCACAUCUUAAUUUUGCAAAUAGUCUCUAUCUUUACAGAGACCUGAGCCAGGAUUCUUUCUUCCCAACCCCUUUAGGGUAUCAUGGCUUAAACUUCGAAUCAGAUGUAACAGCUCCAGCUCAUCUCUUCAUGUUCAUGCUAAAGACACUACUCCCGUAUAAUUUAUAGAAUUUUGCACUGUUCUUUCUUUCUUGUCCCUUGUUUUGGAUCUGUGACCCUCAUUGUGUCUGACAUUUGGGUCUCAGCAGACUUGAGAGGUAUCGAGGGAAUAGAAGUCUUGGAAAUGUCAACACGUUGCCUGCUGUUCAUGAGUUAGAGUGACAUGUAUGUGCAAACCCAAACAGAGCUGGAAUGUCAAAUUCUAGGUCUUCUUAACCAGUGCUCUUCUCAGACAAUGUCUUUAGAGACUUAAUUCAGGAAAUCUUCACCUGAUGUGUGAUCAGCAGUUGCAGUGAGCAGUUCUGGGUGGGCAGGUGACUGACAUUUUUUUGUCAUCUGUAUGGGAUUCAAACCCACAAAGGGACAUGGAUACAGUUACAAACUGUGAUACCAUCUGCAUACAAAUUGGAGAAAGAAUUCAGCUCUCCCACCAUUUGAGCCAAGGGAAGCCCCAGGUGGUGCUUGUGUAAUAGGAUUGUUAUUGCAAGCUUCAGUGGGAUAGCUGCGAGUUCAACUUCUGUUCCUUAGCCUGGCAGUACAUAUUACUAAAUUUCCUGCAAACUUGUCAUUUGCAUGAUUCAGUUUGGCAUGGUCCCUCUCUGUCUCUGUGGUUUAGAGCCAUGCCAAUUUGGCUUGUGCUUUUUCCUUGAGCUAUCAAGUUCCUUUGCGUUUCGCUGGCUUUUUUGCAUUCUUUGUGCAUGGUCUUUUGUGUAGUUUACUAAGAAGGGCUUGAAUGUUCUGCUCUGAACAGUUCCCGUCUCUCAUUCUUACAUUGUUUUCUGUCACAAAUCUGUUGUUGCCAUGCAAGUAAAACUUUGAAAGAAAGGAAUUAAUUGCCUUAGGGCUAUGAUAACGUUAACGGCUAGGAGCUCAUCUCUCAGGUUCAUGAAUUCUUCUGCAGAGCAGCCAAAGCAGUAGAUUCCUACAUUUAUGAUCUUAUUAUAAGUCUUUUCUUUUCAUUUGCAAAAUAGACACAUUUUGAAUUUAAAAGAACUUACAUUUUGGAUAACAUUUUAAUUUCCUCAAUAGAUAUUACUUUAAAGGAUUCUGUGGGCUUGUAUUUUGAUGGUAUGUAGAAUGUACCAGACUUAAUCAAUCACCUGUGCUUGUGAAUUUGAACUUGGUUAACCUGGUCCCUUACUGUCCCUCAUUAAACAUAAAUUUAAUACUCAUAAAUGUUACAGAAUUGACAGCUCUGCAAACUGAAUCCCCUUUGCAUGAAACAAGUGUGAUAAAGGCAGAAGCAGUAUAAGCAGCCUACGACAGUAUGACCCAGCUAAGAUAGACAGACAGCAUCUGGGACAAUAAGCAAGUCAUUUCCUUUGUUUAGGCAGUUCCACCUUUGCUGGAAGCACCAGCAAGGAUGCCAGAUAGUACCAAUGGUGCUUGUUGUGUUUUGUGUUCUGAAUCCUUGUCCAUUAACAUGUGGAUCUAAAUAACGUGAUAUGCAUUUUACUACUGUACUCUUGUGACCUAUAGGUCAUUAUUGAUUGACAGAACUGGACUGCUACUGAAAUGAACAAUUUUCAAACAAAUGCCCUAGAGGUGAAAGACACUAUGGGCCAAAUCCUUAGCUAGUAUAAAUUGGGAAGUGCCAUUACUGGAGCUGUCAAUUUUACAUUAGCAAAAACUCUGGCUGAUAGCCCAUUACAAGUUUCCUAGACUGAAAGCUUUCCUAACCCUUGAUCAAGAACCUUGUUUUUUAAUGUUUUACAAUAGGAAAAGUUCUAAAAUCUUAAUUUUUGUGGGUUAAGAGAAACAUUAGUUACUUCUACACUCAGUAAUCUUCGUAUUUUUAUAUUGUUCCACCAGCUUAUAAAAAGCCAUAGGCCAUGUCUGCACUGCCUCCCUACUGAGUCAAGGACUGGUCCCAGGUAUGUGGGUGUAUGAUCACGACCCCUCUGGCCACCUAGGUUACUGAACUGCCAGGCCUGGGCUCAGAGAGCUGGAGUGAGUGGGCAGAGUUUGUUCCUCAGCAACAGACCCGAGCUCACCAGGAAGGUCAUAUAGGGCUGGCCAUGGUUUCUCUAGGUAGGUUUGGUGUCCCAGAGGGUAAAGAAUCAUGAAAGGGACUGUAAUGAGCUCAGAUCAGGGCCCAGAUGCUCCCAACUGAAUAAUUAGAGCAAUGGAUCCUCUGAGGUUGCAGGGAACCAACCCUGCCCCAUUGAAGCUCAGAUCAAUGCCCUGGGCCCAGCAGAUUCUAAUGGAGUAAUCAGAACAACCAGUCCCUGAGGUGGUGGGAAACAGGUCCCACUACUCCAGCCUUUAAUAGCUUGUCCCAAAUAGCAGUAUGCUGACCGGGCAAAGACUUUGAUUCUUGUUCCUGACUGAUCCAUAGUGCUUCAACUACUGGCUCACUCUGACUGUCUUAGGUGUCCAGUUUACCUGGAACUCUGGUCUUGACUCUUGACUGUGACCUUGGUUUUGACUCCUAGCUCCCUAUGAAGCCAGUCUAUGGACUUUGCCUAAUUAACCAAGUGACCUUUCCUGACAGGGACUGUUUUUUUCAUUUUUGUUUGGUCAGUACUUAACACAGAGCAGGGCAUAGGAUGGGGCUGGUCAAUCAUUGAAGUCUCUAGAUAAGACUACAGUACAAAUAAUAAAUAAUAGCCGCACCACCACUACACGCUGGCAGAGAGUGUUCUCACUCUUCGGGGUACAGAGCAAGAUUUUGCGUGUACCCAGCUGUGCCUCCUUUCUGACUUCAGUGGAGUCAGCUCAGAUUUCCUUCAGUGUAAAUGAGAUCAGAACCUGGCCCCAUCUUAAGACAAAGAUUUUUUUCCUAUUCCCCCUUUCAGGACAGAAUGCACCUGAGGGGGGGCCAUAAGAGAUUUUGCUGAGCUAAGCUGUUUGAAACCACGUGGUUAGCUCACUCUGCCAAACAAUUGCACUUUUAUUGUUCUUCUUUUACAUCUGACCUGACUGACAAGAAAAGCUGCUCACAGCAUGGGAGGAGGGUCUGCCAUUGAAACAUUCUGGUGUGCAGCAAUUCCAGGAAGAAGUUGUCUGCACUCUCAAACCACCCCCUUGCAAAAGCCUGGUUACCCAAGAAAAGAACAGGUGUGCUCUCACUUGUCCAGCAACCCUAUAUGCUAGAAGAGCAUCUCAUAUGGCAAUACAGAUUCCCAGGCUGGCAACUGGCUUCUCUUGAACAGGCUGAGCUCUCUAUCAAGACGGCUUACCAGCAUUGGGGAUGGGGAGGAUUUCCUUUACAAACACAUCGUCUCCUCUGGCAAUGAUUUAUUGCCAUUUAUGUUUCAGUAGCAUGCUAUCUUAAAGCUUAUUCCUGUAAACACUCCUAGGCCUACUGCUUCUUACUCUAGGGGUUAACAAGAUCAGACUCCAAGGAUUUGGUGCCAAAACGAAGCCAUCUUUGGCUGUUGGUAUUUCUUUGUAUCUUCUCAGAAGGAGAUUAUUCCUCAAUAUUUUAUUUAUCAGUUACUUUAGACAGCAGCAUCUAUUCAUUUUAAUCUUGCUGGCGGAGCCUUACUGUAAACAAGAUAGGCUAAACUCUCUGGUGGGAUGAACAGGAGCAGCUUCAUUGACCUUAAUGGAGUCCAUUUAUAUCAGCAGAUAACUUGGCCUGGUGUCUCUUAGUCGGCUGCAUUAUAUGGAUCUCCUUCAAGCUCUUUAAUAUGCUAUAAUAAAAAAGUUAAGUAACUCUU